GGAGCAAAAGGUGCAACAAUGAAAGAUGCCACUGUGCGGCCGUACAUUGCGUGCGAGGAAUGUGAAGGGACUGCCCUGAAAGUAAAUGGGAAGGAAAAGAAAAAAGGUUAACUUAUUUCUUUUCCAACCUCAACUGGCAGACACUUGGAGUUUGCCUCUUUGUACUUGAGUAGGGUCUGGAUUAGUAGACCACCAUGGCAUAGGCCCACACCGUCAGCAUCACGUGACUGCAGCAGAAGUUCGACACGUUUAUUUAGACGUAAUUAUUUCGUGUACUUACCCUCCCAUUGUAGUGUACACAGCGAAGAAUCGACUGUUUGCAUGGUUAUGAUUCCGAAGAGAGGUAUAUCGUUCUGCGCUUUCGUAGCAGGUGCGCGUAUGUGGGGAAGAAAGUGUAAGGAUUCCGAAAUCUGCAAUGGAAAAGCAAUCGAAGUUCGAUGAGGAUUUAAAUUUUAGGACUUUCAUGUAACCUAACAAAGGUUUAAGCUCCUCUUACUGAUUGCAAUUGAGCUUUAGAUACCAUUUCAUUAUACAUAAAUUAGAAUUGAAUCUUAAAUGUACAUAUAAAUAAAUAAAUGACUCAAGAAAGAUUUUACGGUAUAAGUAAAAUUUCUUUCUAACCCUAUUUCUACUGCAAAAUUUGGACAGGUUAUUAAACGUAAA